rnacentral:rRNA from 1 species
GUGAAGCAGAGCUUGCUCUGUGGAUCAGUGGCGAACGGGUGAGUAACACGUGAGCAAUCUGCCCCUGACUCUGGGAUAAGCGCUGGAAACGGCGUCUAAUACCGGAUACGAGCUGCGACCGCAUGGUCAGUAGCUGGAAAGAAUUUCGGUCAGGGAUGAGCUCGCGGCCUAUCAGCUUGUUGGUGAGGUAAUGGCUCACCAAGGCGUCGACGGGUAGCCGGCCUGAGAGGGUGACCGGCCACACUGGGACUGAGACACGGCCCAGACUCCUACGGGAGGCAGCAGUGGGGAAUAUUGCACAAUGGGCGCAAGCCUGAUGCAGCAACGCCGCGUGAGGGAUGACGGCCUUCGGGUUGUAAACCUCUUUUAGCAGGGAAGAAGCGAAAGUGACGGUACCUGCAGAAAAAGCGCCGGCUAACUACGUGCCAGCAGCCGCGGUAAUACGUAGGGCGCAAGCGUUAUCCGGAAUUAUUGGGCGUAAAGAGCUCGUAGGCGGUCUGUCGCGUCUGCUGUGAAAACCCGAGGCUCAACCUCGGGCCUGCAGUGGGUACGGGCAGACUAGAGUGCGGUAGGGGAGAUUGGAAUUCCUGGUGUAGCGGUGGAAUGCGCAGAUAUCAGGAGGAACACCGAUGGCGAAGGCAGAUCUCUGGGCCGUAACUGACGCUGAGGAGCGAAAGGGUGGGGAGCAAACAGGCUUAGAUACCCUGGUAGUCCACCCCGUAAACGUUGGGAACUAGUUGUGGGGUCCAUUCCACGGAUUCCGUGACGCAGCUAACGCAUUAAGUUCCCCGCCUGGGGAGUACGGCCGCAAGGCUAAAACUCAAAGGAAUUGACGGGGACCCGCACAAGCGGCGGAGCAUGCGGAUUAAUUCGAUGCAACGCGAAGAACCUUACCAAGGCUUGACAUAUAGAGGAAACGUCUGGAAACAGUCGCCCCGCAAGGUCUCUAUACAGGUGGUGCAUGGUUGUCGUCAGCUCGUGUCGUGAGAUGUUGGGUUAAGUCCCGCAACGAGCGCAACCCUCGUUCUAUGUUGCCAGCACGUAAUGGUGGGAACUCAUGGGAUACUGCCGGGGUCAACUCGGAGGAAGGUGGGGAUGACGUCAAAUCAUCAUGCCCCUUAUGUCUUGGGCUUCACGCAUGCUACAAUGGCCGGUACAAAGGGCUGCAAUACCGUGAGGUGGAGCGAAUCCCAAAAAGCCGGUCCCAGUUCGGAUUGAGGUCUGCAACUCGACCUCAUGAAGUCGGAGUCGCUAGUAAUCGCAGAUCAGCAACGCUGCGGUGAAUACGUUCCCGGGUCUUGUACACACCGCCCGUCAAGUCAUGAAAGUCGGUAACACCUGAAGCCGGUGGCCCAACCCUUGUGGAGGGAGCCGUCGAA